CUAAUUAAUGAAAAAAUUGAUGGAGAUUUUCAUUUUCCUCUCCAACCGAAUCUAUCUCUCCCCUCUUCUAGCUUCUUGUUUCUCUGCUCCAUUCGGACCGAUGACGGCGAUGGCCAGUCCCUUAGGUAGUUAGGUUGCUUCUCUUCUUCUUCUCUUUCCUUGACUCUUCACUCUUUCACAAAUCAAAACUUGCCGGCCCUUUUUUCAACCCUAGCCACGCUGCCACUGUGUCAUAUCUGCCAUCUAUGCGAUAGUAUCUCACUCGCACCUCCAGCCAGCUAACUACUCCCAAUAAAGGAGAAGUGAAGAUUGUUUGUCUAACUCUCUAACUUUCUUUAAAUCUACAGUAUCGAAAGGAAAAGGCAAUAAUGGUGAUGUCCAAAUUGGGUUUUUGUUCAUGUGUGAUAUUUUAGUUUUUUACAUAAUUGAUUUUAGGUAUGUGGUAUGUUUGCAUGUGCAUACUUUUAUUUUUCAAAUUUUGAUUUGUUUCUGAAUUUUUAGAUGUGCACAUUUUGCAAUAUAUGAUGGUUCGUGGAGAUUGGUUAGCUAUAAAGUAUACUGAGAAGCAUCUUCACAUUAAUGUUCUUUCAACGGGCUUAUCACGUGAGCUGGUCUGUUUGUUUGAGAAUGUAGUGUUGUAAUUAUUGCUCAAAUUUUUAUUUUAGAAAAUAGCUAUAUUUUACAUUCCAUUUUGUAAUUGCCCUUUCAUAGUUUGGCGUUUGAUGAAAAUUUUUAGUUGGAUGUUAAGUGUUCAAAGAAGGUAGUUUGAUGUAAUUGCCCUAACAUUAUAAUUCGGGUAGUGUAUUUUAUGUACUCUGGUCCAACUGUCGAGAACGACAGAGAUAAUCGGUCGAAAACAACAUACGAACUGUCGGACUGUAAUACAGUAUGUUGUAAAUGGAUUCGCAAUUUGCUUGUAAA
rnacentral:lncRNA from 1 species